GACGAACGCUGGCGGCGUGCUUAACACAUGCAAGUCGAACGGAAAGGCCCUGCUUUUGUUGUGUGCUCGAGUGGCGAACGGGUGAGUAACACGUGAGUAACCUGCCCUUUACUUUGGGAUAACUUCAGGAAACUGGGGCUAAUACCGGAUAGGAGCUCCUGCUGCAUGGUGGGGGUUGGAAAGUUUCGGCGGUUGGGGAUGGACGCGCGGCUUAUCAGCUUGUUGGUGGGGUAGUGGCUUACCAAGGCUUUGACGGGUAGCCGGCCUGAGAGGGUGACCGGCCACAGUGGGCCUGAGAUACGACCCAGACUCAUACGUGAGGCAUCAGUGGGAACUAUUGCACACUGGGCGGAAGCCGGAUGCAGCAACGUCGCGUGCGGGAUGACGGUCUUCGGGUUGUAAACCGCUUUCGCCUGUGACGAAGCGUGAGUGACGGUAAUGGAUAAAGAAGCACCGGCUAACUACGUG
rnacentral:rRNA from 1 species